rnacentral:rRNA from 1 species
GAACGCUGGCGGCAUGCCUUACACAUGCAAGUCGAACGGCAGCACGGGAGCAAUCCUGGUGGCGAGUGGCGAACGGGUGAGUAAUACAUCGGAACGUGCCCAGUUGUGGGGGAUAGCCCGGCGAAAGCCGGAUUAAUACCGCAUACGACCUGUGGGUGAAAGCGGGGGAUCGCAAGACCUCGCGCAAUUGGAGCGGCCGACGUCAGAUUAGGUAGUUGGUGGGGUAAAGGCUCACCAAGCCGACGAUCUGUAGCUGGUCUGAGAGGACGACCAGCCACACUGGGACUGAGACACGGCCCAGACUCCUACGGGAGGCAGCAGUGGGGAAUUUUGGACAAUGGGCGCAAGCCUGAUCCAGCCAUGCCGCGUGUGGGAAGAAGGC